CUAAGAGGCUGCUUUGCAGCUCCGGGCCGGACGGCAGCACCCCUGCAGGGCUGCGCCAGCCACGGGACCCCUGCGCGGCCAGCUGGGGAGCGCCCGGCUGCUGGGGUGCCACCGAUGGAGAGCACAGCUUUGGAAAUCCUGCCAGGCCGUCGUGCAUCUCCACUUUAACGUGGCUUCUGGGAAUUUCCAAGUGUUUCUGGGCUGCUAAGCGAAUUUAUAAGCAGAUGCCUGCUUCUCACUGCUGGUGCCAAAUGGAUUGCAUCAAUUACAAUGUCAUACCUAUGAAGCUCCAGAGCACAGAGCAAGUAGAAGGACAGCAGUUGGUCUGCAGAGGAUUAUUGCUCUGUCUGAAGACUCUUUCAGAACAACAUCCUGGUAUCUGUCUCCAAUAGAAACCAAGAUGAAAUGUGCAAUCAUCAUAUUGGAACAAAUAAAGUGUCUUUUAAGAAUUUGAGAACUUCUGAUGUACACCUGCCUCGGAGGUCAGAGACUACUUCUGGCAGACAGAGGAAGUACCAGCCACUGCGCUGGGACGAACCCAUGCAACCACGCGGGUUCCACAUCUAACCUGUAAAGGGGACAGAAGAAAACGGCCAAGUGCGUUGUCUGGAGAGUGAAGCAGAGCAGGUAAUCGAUAGCAGUGAGCUGAAACCUCGCUGUCUUCCAGGCAGACUGAGCCUGAACAUAGCUGCUUGGAAGCAGGAGCACACAGCAAUGUGGGCAAGUCCUAAAUCACAUUCCCUUGCUCUUCUAGCGCUGACACAAAGACCGUCCCAGGGCCACCUGAGCUGGCAUUUUAAUGCAAGAACCUCAAAGUGCAAAAGCUGCAUGUGCUGCCGUGAGAAGGAGCCACGAGCAUCUUGGAGGUCAGGGUUAUUCAAAUUAAACUUAGCGAAAAAGAGA